GAUGAAGAACGUAGUGAAAUGCGAUAAGUAGUGUGAAUUGCAGAAUUCAGUGAAUCAUCGAAUCUUUGAACGCACAUUGCGCCCCUUGGUAUUCCAUGGGGCAUGCCUGUUCGAGCGUCAUUUGUACCUUCAAGCUCUGCUUGGUGUUGGGUGAUUGUCUAUCUUUGUAGACUCGCCUUAAAGUCAUUGGCAGCCGGCAUAUUGGCCUGGGAGCGCAGCACAAGUCGCGCUUCUUGUCAUGAAUGUUGGCGUCCAGUAAGUCUACAUAUUUUGCUCUUGACCUCGGAUCAGGUAGGGAUACCCGCUGAACUUAAGCAUAUCAAUAAGCGGAGGA
rnacentral:misc_RNA from 1 species